ncrna:Eptesicus fuscus (big brown bat) microRNA efu-mir-4667 precursor
AGGUCCUGAUUGGGGGCGGAAGGAGAACCCAAGGAAAGUUCACUUGGAGGCCCUUCCUUUCUGUCCCCACAGGACUUCGGC